ensembl:lincRNA
AUGGAGACCCUGGAGAGGGCAGGAGGUGAGGUCCAAAAUGGUCAGCAAAGGUAAGGUGGCAUUGAUAGGUAGGUCCAGGGGAUGAUAUGGGCUGGGUGUUUAUUUAAACUGGCUGUGUUUAGAAACUUAUGCUUAGAGAAAGCAACAGCUCUCUGAGUCCAAUGUGCAUAAAAAUGGGAGAUGGGGAUAUGGCAGACCUACAGCGAGAGGCCGGAGGCCAGAGAGCAAAUACUCAGGUUGCUUACAGCAAUCUUUCUCUGUGACUUAGUGGGCUUAUGAUUUGACCUAAGAAAGAAAUGGGUUGACUUCCUCUCAGGUUCCAGUCAGGCCUGUUUUUGGCUCUCUCCAUAGACACUCAUCGUCAGAUGACCAUGAGCUAGUCAGUUCCUCCCUCCAAGCCUCCAUUUCUGUGAGGACUCCCAUCAAAUGGGAACAAGACUUGAUGGUGCUUAUACAGACUGGAGUAGGUCAUCCUAGUCGGGAAAAGUCUUGGCUAACUGUGGGUAUGAACCCGAGGUGGGUGUAAGAUGCUGACAGGGAAGAAAGUCUAUGCUUUACCCCCUCUGUAGUUCCUCAUAUGGGUUUGUGCUGACAGAGCCAUAUCAGAUUGACUCAAACAUAACAGGAAAAUGGGCAGUUUCUAGUAUUGCCUGUUCCUAGGCCCGCUAACUGCUGGCUGGUUUCAGCUGGAUUACUAGUGGGACUGGGGCUAGAAGGCACAACAGGUGGGUGCCACUGCAAAGGAGGAGGUGUGUCCUUACAUGCCAGAGGUUCGGAUCUGGAGACUUCAGGUUCCAAUCUGGUCAGGCAGAGAAAGGGGCUGGCAGGACCUCAAGCUUCUCUUUAGCCUCACACUGACUCCCAGGCACUCCCAGGUUCUCAGAGCAAGUCCCUGCUUCGUUUCUCCAGGUGUAAAAUGUAAAAGAGAUUCUCCUUUUAAUCAUUCUGAGAAGGCCUACGACUGUCUCAUCCACUCGGUGAGAUUACUAAGGAGUGGUGAAGGUUUGAAAAGUCUCCUGGUCUCUAUCCUGCGUUCCUGGGCUCAAGUCCUUUCAAGCCAGUUCUGGAAUCCUCUGGGUGGAGGAGCGCACAAGGAUUCCUGUGUGUCAGCCUGCAGGAAGACCCAGGAGCACUUUCUUUUCACAAGUCUCCCCAGGGUUUCAAAAUACUUGGAUGCCACAAGAAGUAGCUCACCACAGCCGUUUUUUAGGCUUCUCAGCACCUACAGAGGUAAAAAACUGUCACCAGGUGUUAGAAAAGAUGUAUCAGCCACCAGAAAAGAGCACCAACUGGGGAUGAGUCCCCCACUUCUAACCUCAGCUGGAUUUUUGGCCUGGCCCAAUAUGUUUUUGUCAGGGAGCUCUUCAGAAUUCUCAUUACAAGGUUUCCUCAGAAGCCCACAUUUUGGGACAUUGAAAGCUCCUGGGAAAAUAUGUAAAUGUUUCAGGUUCUUCUAGAAUGGAGAAAAGACAGAAUCCCUUGCCUGUUUGUAUCACAACCAACAACUUAAUCAAAAGUGAGCCAGCCGGUGCAAGGGGCAUGAAGCUGCAGACGAUACUAAAUGUUUGGAAAUAACAGUAGGCAGGAUGCCCGGCCUUGUGAAUGGGCCCCCAGCACCAGUGUCAGGAGACCUGGGUCAUCUCAUCUGACUCACUGCCUGUUGGGGAUGAUUCAUACUCCCUUUCCGUGUGUUU